GCCAUCUUGUAACGGCUCCCCUACCCACCCACUCCCACUUCUCCGACUUCUAGGCCCUGGUGUUUCCCCUGUACUGGGGCAUACAAAGUUUGCAAGACCAAGGGGCCUCUCUUCCCAAUGAUGGCCGACUAGGCCAUCUUCUGCUACAUAUGCAGCUAGAGACACUUCAUCUCUGACUGUCGAAUAGUGUAUGGAGAUUCACUAGAAAAGCUAUGCCUGUGAGUCUACAAGGAUUUCGUCAUUAUGGCAUUCCCAUGGAGAUUUCAUUACAUUGGUUAUUGCUUAAUUGCCUGGAUUCAUUCAUACAGACAAUACGAAGCACCACAACCUUUAACAAUCAACAUUUUAAAACUUCACCAAACCCAGACUAUAUUGUGGAAGCUGGGAAGUGCUUGCUGACAGUAGCCUGAUAGGGCUGUCUCCUGACAGGCUCUGCCAGAGCCUGACAAAUACAGAGAUGGAUGCUUGGAGCCAACCAUUGGACAAAGCAGAAGGUCCCUGAUGGAGGAGUUGGAGAAGGAACUGAAGGAGCUAAGAGAGUUCACGGCCCCAUGGGGAGAAACAGUGUCAAGAAGCCAGACCCCCUGGAGUUCCCAGGGACUAGACCACAAACCAAAGCAUACACAUGGAGGGACCCAUGGUUCUGGCCUCAUAUGUGGCCUUGUUGGACAUCAGUGGGAGGAGUGGCCCUUGGGCCUGAGGGUGUUUGAUGCCCCAGUGUAGGGGAAUUCCAGAGCAGAAAGAAGAUGGAAGUGGGUGAGUAGGUGUGGGAGCACCCUCAUAGAGGCAGCGGGGAGAUGGAUAGGAUACGGUGUUUCUGAAGGGGAGACCUGGAAAGAGGAAAACACUUGAAAUGUAAAUAAAGAAAAUAUCCAGUAAAAAAG
rnacentral:lncRNA from 1 species